rnacentral:rRNA from 1 species
AUUGAACGCUGGCGGAAUGCUUUACACAUGCAAGUCGAGCGGCAGCGCGGGGCAACCUGGCGGCGAGCGGCGAACGGGUGAGUAAUACAUCGGAACGUGCCCAGACGUGGGGGAUAACUACUCGAAAGAGUGGCUAAUACCGCAUACGAUCUAAGGAUGAAAGCGGGGGAUCGCAAGACCUCGCGCGUUUGGAGCGGCCGAUGGCAGAUUAGGUAGUUGGUGGGGUAAAGGCUUACCAAGCCCGCGAUCUGUAGCUGGUCUGAGAGGAUGAUCAGCCACACUGGGACUGAGACACGGCCCAGACUCCUACGGGAGGCAGCAGUGGGGAAUAUUGGACAAUGGGCGCAAGCCUGAUCCAGCCACGCCGCGUGAGUGAUGAAGGCCUCGGUCGUAAAGGCUCUGUGGGGAGGGACGGAACGGGCGCCAUGAAGAGUGGCGAUUGACGGUACCUCCUUAGCAAGCACCGGCUAACUACGUGCCAGCAGCCGACGG